GCGUGCAUGUUUCCAUUUUGAAGAGAGGAGAAACUAAACUGCCUCGAGUGACUUAUCAUCGAAUAGAUAUGUGAAAAACACCUUGAGGAUUGAUUCUAAACAACGUUUGCCAUGUUUCUGUCGAUAUUAUGGAGUUAAUUUGGAAAAAAGUUCGCGUUUUAAUGACUGAAUUUUCGGGGGUUUUUCUCAGCCAAACGUGAUGAACAAAACGGAGCGAUUUCUCCUACACAAAUAAUCUUUUUGGAAAAACUGAACAUUUGCUAUCUAACUGAGAGUCUCCUCAUUGAAAACAUCCGAAGUUCUUCAAAGAGAAUACUUCAAAAUGAGAAGAUCCUGUCAUGGAAAAGACGACUGGGUGGACAUAAAGUGGAAAGGAGGGGAAAUAACUCCCAUCAUGCAGCAGGACACCUUCAGCUGGGGUCUUUAUAAUGCAGAUAGCCAAGGAAGUUGCACAGAACAUCCCCAACAUCCCCUCCCAAAUUGAUAUGGAACCUUCAAAAACACAUGGAGCAACUGCGAAAAGAAAUGGCUGAGGAUGUACUAAAAAUGUCUGGUAUCUAAUGACAUUUAAUUCAAAGUAAAUGUAAAAAAAAUUGUAUGUAGUUGUGUGGGACAGCCAUAUGUUCAGUUCAUGCCUAUGAUUUCAGAGUUCAACAAAGUCAACAACUGCUUCAUGUGUGCCACUGAUAAAGAACCUGGAUGUGGCCCAAAGACUGACUGGGAAUGAAGACAAAAGAGAUCAACAGAGUAAAGAACACAAACUGGAAGUACAGUCUUUGUUGUUGAUAAUGUAUGCUAUACCCCAUACACACUGAAGAGGCUCUGACAUGUACAUCAACCAGGGAUAAAGAGGAAGUUAACUGAAAUGUACAUCAAGCAGGAAUAAAGAGAAAGUUAACUGAAAUGUUUCAUACUUAAUUGAAUUUGUGUCUGUUGACAUGUUGGAAAAGAUUAAAGGUCUACAAUUUCA